CAAGAUAAUUGAUGCUAUGCUAUUCUGCAAGACUAGCCUGAGCUUAAGCACUUUAUCACUCACUCUGACUACCUUUAUGACCUUAUCCACCCAACAAGUAUGCCCACACCACUUACCCCAUCACUGUUACCUUCCCAGAAGAUUUUAUACCUUGCCUGUGAGGAACGUGCGGAGAGGGAGCAUGCGAAACGGCUACCACAUCCAAGGAAGGCAGCAGGCGCGCAAAUUACCCACUCCCGGCACGGGGAGGUAGUGACGAAAAAUAACGACGCGGGACUCUGUCGAGGCCCCGCGAUCGGAAUGAGUACACUUCAAAUCCGUUAACGAGGAUCGACCGGAGGGCAAGUCUGGUGCCAGCAGUCGCGGUAAUUCCAGCUCCGGUAGCGUAUAUUAAAAUUGUUGCGUUUGAAAAGCUCGUAGUCGGAAUUCGGGUCUCGAAAACGUGCCCCAGCACGUUCGGGGC
rnacentral:ncRNA from 1 species